GUCAGACGGCGCAAAAAGAGUUCCCUGACCGGGAAUCGAACCCGGGCCGCGGCGGUGAAAGCGCCGAAUCCUAGCCACUAGACCACCAGGGACUCGGUAGGCUUGUGCUUGCCUCUGUGAUACAGAAGGGAUACCAUUUGGCGUGUUGAGUGGCCGCCCACAGGCUGAGAGGAUCAUGGAGGCUGUUGAACUAUACCGAGAAGAAACUGCAAAAAUGAAAGAACACAAAGCCAUUUGUAAAGCUGCAGGGAAAGAGGUUCCUCUCCCCACCAACCCCAUCCUGAUGGCUUACGGAAUGUCUCUGUGAGUACAACGUCUAAGUCUCUCCCUGGUCAAUCAGAGGUUACUCUCAGGGGUGA